AUUGAACGCUGGCGGCAGGCCUAACACAUGCAAGUCGAACGGUAGCACAGAGAGCUUGCUCUCGGGUGACGAGUGGCGGACGGGUGAGUAACGUCUGGGAAACUGCCCGAUGGAGGGGGAUAACUACUGGAAACGGUAGCUAAUACCGCAUAACGUCGCAAGACCAAAGUGGGGGACCUUCGGGCCUCACACCAUCGGAUGUGCCCAGAUGGGAUUAGUUAGUAGGUGGGGUAAUGGCUCACCUAGGCGACGAUCCCUAGCUGGUCUGAGAGGAUGGCCGGCCACACUGGAAAUGAGAAACGGUCCAGACUCCUACGGGAGGCAGCAGUGGGGAAUAUUGCACAAUGGGCGCAAGCCUGAUGCAGCCAUGCCGCGUGUAUGAAGAAGGCCUUCGGGUUGUAAAGUACUUUCAGCGGGGAGGAAGGCGGUGAAGUUAAUAGCUUCACCGAUUGACGUUACCCGCAGAAGAAGCACCGGCUAACUCCGUGCCAGCCGCCGCCGUAA
rnacentral:rRNA from 1 species